UACAGAGGGUGCGAGCGUUAAUCGGAAUUACUGGGCGUAAAGGGCGCGUAGGCGGUAUGAUAGGUGUGAUGUGAAAGCCCUGGGCUUAACCUGGGAAGGGCAUCGCAAACGAUGAUACUGGAGUUGAAGAGAGGGUGUUGGAAUUUCCGGUGUAGCGGUGAAAUGCGUAGAGAUCGGAAGGAACGUCGAUGGCGAAGGCAGGCACCUGGCUUCAUACUGACGCUGAGGCGCGAAAGCGUGGGUAGCGAACAGG
rnacentral:rRNA from 1 species